UUACUACGGAGAGUUUGAUCCUGGCUCAGGACGAACGCUGGCGGCGUGCCUAAUACAUGCAAGUCAACUUGAAUCGCGGUAGCAAUACUGCGAGGAGAGUGGCGCACGGGUGAGUAACGCGUAGGUAAUCUGCCUUUAGGUCUGACAUAACCCCGAGAAAUCGGGGAUAAUUUCAGAUGAAGCAGCGGUUUGGCAUCAAACUGCUGUUAAACCUUCGGGGCCUAGAGAUGAGCCUGCGUACCAUUAGAUAGUUGGCGGAGUAAUAGCCCACCAAGUCUUCGAUGGUUAGCUGGUCUGAGAGGAUGAUCAGCCACACUGGAACUGAGAUACGGUCCAGACUCCUACGGGAGGCAGCAGUAAGGAAUAUUGCUCAAUGGGAGAAAUCCUGAAGCAGCAACGCCGUGUGAAGGAUGACGGGCUUUUGCUUGUAAACUUCUGUAGAAGGGGAAAAAACCUCCACUCUGUGGAGUUUGAUGGUACCCUUAGAGUAAGCCCCGGCUAACUACGUGCCAGCAGCCGCGGUAAUACGUAGGGGGCGAGCGUUGUCCGGAUUUACUGGGUGUAAAGGGUGCUCAGGUGGUUUUGUAAGUCAGAGGUGAAAUCUCAGAGCUUAACUCUGGAACUGCCUUUGAUACUACAGAACUUGUGUACGGAAGAGGUUGAUGGAAUUCCUGGUGUAGCAGUGAAAUGCGUAGAUAUCAGGAAGAACACCAGUGGCGAAGGCGGUCAACUGGUCCGGUACAGACACUAAAGCACGAAAGCGUGGGGAGCAAACAGGAUUAGAUACCCUGGUAGUCCACGCCCUAAACGAUGAAUACUAGACGUUGGGUGUAAAAACUCAGUGUCGCAGCUAACGCAUUAAGUAUUCCACCUGGGGAGUACGAUCGCAAGGUUGAAACUCAAAGGAAUUGACGGGGGCCCGCACAAGCAGUGGAGCAUGUGGUUCAAUUCGAUGCAACGCGAAGAACCUUACCUAGGCUUGAAAAGCAAGUUAAUCCUGAUGAAAGUCGGGGUGCCGCAAGGCGAACUUGUACAGGUGCUGCAUGGCUGUCGUCAGCUCGUGCCGUGAGGUGUUGGGUUAAGUCCCGCAACGAGCGCAACCCUUGUCCUUAGUUGCCACCGAGUAAUGUCGAGCACUCUAAGGAGACUGCCUACGCAAGUAGUGAGGAAGGUGGGGAUGACGUCAAGUCCGCAUGGCCCUUACGCCUAGGGCCACACACGUGCUACAAUGGCCACUACAAAGGGCUGCAAAACCGCGAGGUCGAGCCAAUCCCUAAAAAGUGGUCUCAGUUCGGAUUGGAGUCUGAAACUCGACUCCAUGAAGCUGGAAUUGCUAGUAAUCGCGCAUCAGCACGGCGCGGUGAAUACGUUCCCGGGCCUUGUACACACCGCCCGUCAAGCCAUGGAAGCUGGGGGUACCCGAAGUCGCCUUUAAUAAGCGCCGAAGGUAAAACCAGUGACUGGGGCUAAGUCGUAACAAGGUAGCCGUACCGGAAGGUGUGGCUGGAUCACCUCCUUUCU
rnacentral:rRNA from 1 species